UACGGGGGGGGGUAAGCGUUGUUCGGAUUCAUUGGGCGUAAAGGGCUCGUAGGUGGCUUUGUAAGUCGGAGGUGAAAUCCCACGGCUCAACCGUGGACACGCCUUCGAAACUGUGAAGCUUGAGGCUGGGAGAGGAGAUCGGAAUUCCUGGUGUAGCGGUGAAAUGCGUAGAUAUCAGGAGGAACACCGGUGGCGAAGGCGGCGUCCUGGACCAACACUGACACUGAGGAGCGAAAGCCAGGGGAGCAAACGGG
rnacentral:rRNA from 1 species